GUGCUCACUUCAGCAGCACAUAUACUAAAAUUGGAACAACACCAAGAAGAUUAACCUGGCCCCUGCAGAAGGAUGACAUGCAAAUUCAUGAAGCAUUACAUGUUAAA
ensembl:snRNA U6 U6 spliceosomal RNA